GACGAACGCUGGCGGCGUGCUUAACACAUGCAAGUCGAACGAUGAAGCCCAGCUUGCUGGGUGGAUUAGUGGCGAACGGGUGAGUAACACGUGAGUAACCUGCCCUUGACUCUGGGAUAAGCGCUGGAAACGGCGUCUAAUACCGGAUACGACCUGCCCCGGCAUCGGGUGCGGGUGGAAAGUUUUUCGGUCAAGGAUGGACUCGCGGCCUAUCAGGUAGUUGGUGAGGUAAUGGCUCACCAAGCCGGCGACGGGUAGCCGGCCUGAGAGGGUGACCGGCCACACUGGGACUGAGACACGGCCCAGACUCCUACGGGAGGCAGCAGUGGGGAAUAUUGCACAAUGGGCGAAAGCCUGAUGCAGCAACGCCGCGUGGGGGAUGACGGCCUUCGGGUUGUAAACCUCUUUUAGUAGGGAAGAAGGGCUUCGGCUUGACGGUACCUGCAGAAAAAGCACCGGCUAACUACGUGCCAGCAGCCGCGGUAAUACGUAGGGUGCAAGCGUUGUCCGGAAUUAUUGGGCGUAAAGAGCUCGUAGGCGGUUUGUCGCGUCUGCUGUGAAAACCCGAGGCUCAACCUCGGGCCUGCAGUGGGUACGGGCAGACUAGAGUGCGGUAGGGGAGAAUGGAAUUCCUGGUGUAGCGGUGGAAUGCGCAGAUAUCAGGAGGAACACCGAUGGCGAAGGCAGUUCUCUGGGCCGUUACUGACGCUGAGGAGCGAAAGCGUGGGGAGCGAACAGGAUUAGAUACCCUGGUAGUCCACGCCGUAAACGUUGGGAACUAGAUGUGGGGACCUUUCCACGGUCUCCGUGUCGCAGCUAACGCAUUAAGUUCCCCGCCUGGGGAGUACGGCCGCAAGGCUAAAACUCAAAGGAAUUGACGGGGGCCCGCACAAGCGGCGGAGCAUGCGGAUUAAUUCGAUGCAACGCGAAGAACCUUACCAAGGCUUGACAUAUACCGGAAACUUCCAGAAAUGGUUGCCCCGCAAGGUCGGUAUACAGGUGGUGCAUGGUUGUCGUCAGCUCGUGUCGUGAGAUGUUGGGUUAAGUCCCGCAACGAGCGCAACCCUCGUUCUAUGUUGCCAGCACGUCAUGGUGGGAACUCAUAGGAGACUGCCGGGGUCAACUCGGAGGAAGGUGGGGAUGACGUCAAAUCAUCAUGCCCCUUAUGUCUUGGGCUUCACGCAUGCUACAAUGGCCGGUACAAAGGGCUGCGAUACCGUAAGGUGGAGCGAAUCCCAAAAAGCCGGUCUCAGUUCGGAUUGAGGUCUGCAACUCGACCUCAUGAAGUCGGAGUCGCUAGUAAUCGCAGAUCAGCAACGCUGCGGUGAAUACGUUCCCGGGCCU
rnacentral:rRNA from 1 species